GAUGAAGAACGUAGCGAAAUGCGAAAAGUAAUGUGAAUUGCAGAAUUCAGUGAAUCAUCGAAUCUUUGAACGCACAUUGCGCCCGCUGGUAUUCCGGCGGGCAUGCCUGUUCGAGCGUCAUUUCAACCCUCAAGCUCUCCGGAGUUUGGUGUUGGGGCGCCUGGGGCUUUUCGACCUCAGGGCCCUCAAGUCCAUCGGCGGGACCGCCAGGACACUGAGCGCAGUAGUAUUAUUUCGCUCGGUAGGAUCUUCCACGGCGGGUCGAUCUGGCCGCUAAACCCCCCAAUUCUCACCAAAGGUUGACCUCGGAUCAGGUAGGAAUACCCGCUGAACUUAAGCAUAUCAAUAAGCGGAGGA
rnacentral:misc_RNA from 1 species